GGUGGAGAGGGGUAGGGCUGUAGGGGGGUGGAGAGGGGUAGGGCUGUAGGGGGGUGUCACAGACCUCAGCAAGCAGGAACACAGUUCAGUUAUAGAAGACUGCAAAUCAAGAGGCUGGUUCAAAUCUUUCCUGUGUUCAAAUCUCCCUCACAUGGUUUGUGAAUCUCUUUGUGUCCGGUUGAAAUACUGCCCUGUGUGCGUUUGUUUAGAAGGCCAACAGUGGUUCAGCCCAGCCGCCCUAAACAUCCAUCCUGGAGUCCUGGUCGACAGACAGGCUCCUCCUCCAGACCCCAGCUGGCUUCAAGCUGCUCUCGCAACACAACUGCAAACCAAUUCCAAUUGGAAGACUUUGAUUAAAACGAUAUUGACUAUGACAAAAAGCUAGUCAUAUUUCUCACCAAGUUACGUGUCUGUUUUUUAGUGUCCAUUCAGAGUGUUUGGGUUUAGCAGUGGCUGGACUGCCGUCAGGGACAGCAAGCACACGGAGCAACAGGACAGAACACAAGCAGACAGAAUGUACGAGGGAGAUGUGGCUGUGUGUGUUCCCACGUGGACAGCCUUUGCCAACACACACACACCACCUGGUCUGAAUACCUCUGAUAGGACAACUUGAUCUUUUCGUGGAUGCUUUCUCCUGGCCAUUUGAGACCUUCCUGUAUACAGUAGCUCGAUGGUCAUAGUGUAAAACCAAGACAAAAAAGCAGACGUUUGAAUCGCAGCGUGUCAGUGUGAACAGUUUGGUUGUCUUGGACAUGAUAUAUGCCAAAUACAAAGCACCAUUUACACAGUGUGCAUUGAAACAUUUCAGACAUUCUUUUAUGCAAGUGCUGCUCAUAGACAAGACCCCCAGUCUCCUCAAUACAGGUACAAGGUAAAUAAUCCUAACUGGUUAAACAUGUAUAUAACAGACAAUGUGAAUAUGUAUUUGUUCAGAAUCAACAAAAAUGUAGUGCUCCAAGGUUGUGGUAAUAACUACUCACUUCCAUAUUUUAUUUUCGUGUCAAUAUAUAUGGCUGAGAGUGAGUAAUACUGUAUAUCUUGUGUUUUAAGAUGGAAACUCAAAUUAUGUCUUGAUUUGAUUUCUUCUACUUUUCUCGUUCUUCUGUCGUAGAUGCCUGCACGUGACCUGUAGGUGUCACAGCUCUGUAUGAGAGAGGGUCACGUGACCUGUAGGUGUCACAGCUCUGUAUGAGAGAGGGUCACGUGACCUGUAGGUGUCACAGCUCUGUAUGAGAGAGGGUCACGUGACCUGUAGGUGUCACAGCUCUGUAUGAGAGAGGGUCACGUGACCUGUAGGUGUCACAGCUCUGUAUGAGAGAGGGUCACGUGACCUGUAGGUGUCACAGCUCUGUAUGAGAGAGGGUCACGUGACCUGUAGGUGUCACAGCUCUGUAUGAGAGAGGGUCACGUGACCUGUAGGUGUCACAGCUCUGUAUGAGAGAGGGUCACGUGACCUGUAGGUGUCACAGCUCUGUAUGAGAGAGGGUCACGUGACCUGUAGGUGUCACAGCUCUGUAUGAGAGAGGGUCACGUGACCUGUAGGUGUCACAGCUCUGUAUGAGAGAGGGUCACGUGACCUGUAGGUGUCACAGCUCUGUAUGAGAGAGGGUCACGUGACCUGUAGGUGUCACAGCUCUGUAUGAGAGAGGGUCACGUGACCUGUAGGUGUCACAGCUCUGUAUGAGAGAGGGUCACGUGACCUGUAGGUGUCACAGCUCUGUAUGAGAGAGGGUCACGUGACCUGUAGGUGUCACAGCUCUGUAUGAGAGGGUUAGCGACUGCUGAAUGUGAUUUUACUGAGAGACACAGUGUGGACUGGCUUUUGUACGGGUUAAUUUAAAAAAGGCCAUAUUAUUUAAUUUCUCUGUUGUCAAAAAGUUUGAACAGAUCUUGGGGAAAGUGGAACCGGUGUUUUUGUGAAGCAUUGCCUUGUCCUACUAGUAUAUAGAAGUGGGGUGUUAGAUUGCCUGAUGUAGUUUUAUUGCUUUGUCUGAAGUAAUGACCAAAGUUUCAAACGUUUAAUGCAGUAUUCAAUUGGACAAAACAAUUGCUCAGCUCUCUUGAAUGAACCGCUCCCUUACAGCGCUGGUAGGAAUCACUAUUAACAAGAGAUGCACUAUGUACUUCACUGCUACAGUUUGUACUUGUUCAUCGCUACUAACUUCAGCUUUGCAUGGAAUAGCCUUUAGCUUCUAUUUCUUUUUCAACACUAUUAUGUCGUAAGACAAGUGACCUACGUAUAUGGACUAAAGUAUUUUUUGUCAACAUCUUUGGAGUUCGCUUCCCAAAGAGCGGUCUGUCAGACGCCUUCGCUGUUGCCAUGACUCCCAGACUGCAAACGGCUCGUCUCUGUUUACAGGAAGUUAAUCCCAUCAACAGACAAUAUCGCUAUGCACCUUAUAGACGAGCAUGUAUCAAUACUACUAAAGGUAUUAUCCAGAUAGAGUAGAAGUUCAGAUACAGAAAUCACCACCGGGUAUUUUAGGCAUACUUUUUUUUCAGUUUCCCCCCCUUUUCAGUCUCCGCAAAUGGGGUUGACGGAAAUGCUUGGACCGUUUCCGAGCAUCGAAGCUUUUAACGGAGUCUCACAGACGACGAAUAAUAGUUCCAUUUAUUUAGCCUAAUACUUUAUACCAAAUUUGAGGUGCCUCUUGUGUGUAUUUUCUGCAUAGAGGGUUGCUCCUCGCUGUUUCGUAAUAAUAUUCUUAUUGAGGAUUUUCUUAUCUUUACCUUUAUAAAAAAAAAAAAACACGUUUGCUGUAUUGUACAUGAUGUUUUCUAUUAGAAAGUUGAAUUAAUCCAGGAAUUUGCAAGAAAUACAAUCUAGUUUUGCACUUUAUACCAGAUUUACUUAGAGGAACGAGGCCAUUUGAAUACCUAAGUUCAAAUCUACUAUUUGGAAACCUAGAGGAAUCCCCCUGAAUGUAUUGGAAUGUAGGUAAUCCUCGGAUUUCUCAGGUUCUUUGUAAAGAACUUGGUAGUAUUUUCCCAUUUAGAUGACAGAGCAAAUAGUGUCCCUCUCCUUCUGUGUGUUGCCCGGGCCUUCCACUAGUUUAAACUAUGCCUUUCCUCUUCAGGUUAACCCUUGUCCUGGCCUUAGCCAUGCUAACUGCACCCUGGUCACACCCUUCAGCUUAAACCUAUUCAAAACAUUCCUCUGCUGUGGUUAUUCCCCCCUCCCACCAUCCUUUCCUGCGUAGCCACGCUGGUGCAGAGCUGUGACGAUGUAGACCCAUGAACACAAACUUGUCAUUCUCAGCCCGCUCGGUGCUCCCCUUGGUCUAAUGGUAGUCCCUCUGGCUUGCAGACCUGGGUGAGAUCCCUGUUAUAGAGCAGACUUGUGUGUGUUUUCACCCCCCUGUCCCCUCCCCCAUGUCCCACCUGACAGCAGACUGCUUAGACAGCCAGACCCUCAAGGGAGCCCCUCCCAGACUCCUCCCCUCCCAGACUCAGCCCCUCCCCUCCCAGACUCAGCCCCUCCCCUGCCAGAAUCACAGGAAAUGUUUGCUGAUGUGUUUGUAAAGUAACUUAAGUGCUGCCUUAUUGACUGAACUUGGUGGAUCUCGCCACUUGCUGGGCAAUGACUUCACUCUGGCUCAACAACCAGGUUCCACUUUCUCCCCUGUAAAAUUAAUAUAAAUAAAUAUAUAUAUAUUAUACAUUUUACUCAUUUUUGUCCGGUUUUGUAUAUCCUUAUUGUGUAAAACUAUGUUUGUAGAGAGGCAUCUAAUGGAGCAGCUUUGGAACUAUAAUGAAUGAGGGUUUAUCUGGGAUGAACAUAUGCAUGUUUCUGUGUCCAGAUCCCCUACCUUUCCUAGGAUGACAACUGUACAGGAAGUCACAGACAGGAAGUCACAGACAAUCACACUCAGGCUGGGCCAGCACCACAGGAAGUAACCUGCAGGCUGGCCCAGCACCACAGGAAGUACCCUGCAGGCUGAAAAACAAAACAAAGGUCUUUUUUUUUUUUUUUUUGCACCUACUGAAACAGUCUUAUGUGUCUACGUUAACGUCCCAAGCUGCUCUGACUGGGUUUACACACACACACCGUAUGUUCUGUCGCUCACCCGAAGGUGAGGAUGCUGACGAAGUCGACCUUGAAGCAAAUGAUGCUUCGACUAACUAAUCUAUAACAUCCAUGAAUGUGAGAAUGCACCACAUUGCAAUAAAAGCACCAUUUAAAACUAA